AGAGUUUGAUCCUGGCUCAGAACUAACGCUGGCGGCGUGGAUAAGACAUGCAAGUCGAGCGAGAUUUUUCGUUGUAGCAAUACAAUGGAAAGUCUAGCGGCGAACGGGUGCUUAACACGUGGGCAACCUGCCAUGAAGUGGGGGAUAGCUCGCCGAAAGGCGAAUUAAUACCGCAUGUGAUUAGAGAGGACAUCCUUUCGAAAUUAAAGUCGGGGCAACCUGACGCUUCUUGUGGGGCCCGCGGCCUAUCAGCUAGUUGGUGAGGUAACGGCUCACCAAGGCUUUGACGGGUAGCUGGUCUGAGAGGACGACCAGCCACACUGGGACUGAGACACGGCCCAGACACCUACGGGUGGCAGCAGUCGAGAAUUUUUGACAAUGGGGGAAACCCUGAUCGAGCGACGCCGCGUGGAGGAUGAAGGUCUUCGGAUUGUAAACUCCUGUCAUUGGGGAACAAGGUGCAUACGUUAACUGCGUGUGCAUUGAUAGUACCCGAAGAGGAAGAGACGGCUAACUCUGUGCCAGCAGCCGCGGUAAUACAGAGGUCUCAAGCGUUGUUCGGAUUCAUUGGGCGUAAAGGGUGCGUAGGCGGCGCGGUAAGUCGGGUGUGAAAUCUCGGAGCUUAACUCCGAAACUGCAUUCGAUACUGCCGUGCUUGAGGACUGGAGAGGAGACUGGAAUUUACGGUGUAGCGGUGAAAUGCGUAGAUAUCGUAAGGAAGACCAGUGGCGAAGGCGGGUCUCUGGACAGUUCCUGACGCUGAGGCACGAAGGCCAGGGGAGCAAACGGGAUUAGAUACCCCGGUAGUCC
rnacentral:rRNA from 1 species